rnacentral:tRNA from 1 species
AGCGGGAUGGGAUAGCCCGGAUAUUCCGUCAGACUCAUGAUCUGAAGAGCGGUGGUUCAAAUCCACCUCCCGCUA